rnacentral:tRNA from 1 species
GGUUGUGGCUCAGUGGUAGAGUGCUUGCUUAGCAUGCAUGAGGCACUGGGAUCUAUCCCCAGCACCA